rnacentral:rRNA from 1 species
UACGUAGGGUGCAAGCGUUGUCCGGAAUUAUUGGGCGUAAAGAGCUCGUAGGCGGUCUGUCGCGUCUGCUGUGAAAACUCAGGGCUUAACCCUGAGCUUGCAGUGGGUACGGGCAGACUAGAGUGCGGUAGGGGAGACUGGAAUUCCUGGUGUAGCGGUGAAAUGCGCAGAGUAUCAGGAGGAACACCGGUGGCGAAGGCGGGUCUCUGGGCCGUAACUGACGCUGGAGGAGCGAAAGCAUGGGGAGCGAACAGG